rnacentral:rRNA from 1 species
GCCUAACACAUGCAAGUCGAACGGAACUAAUUUGACUGAUUCCUUCGGGAUGAAGAAUUUUUAGUUUAGUGGCGGACGGGUGAGUAACGCGUGAGUAACCUGCCUCUGAGAGGGGAAUAACGUUCUGAAAAGAACGCUAAUACCGCAUAACACAUAUAUGCCGCAUGAAAGAAAUGUCAAAGAUUUUAUCGCUCGGAGAUGGACUCGCGUCCGAUUAGUUAGUUGGUGAGGUAACGGCUCACCAAGACCGCGAUCGGUAGCCGGACUGAGAGGUUGAACGGCCACAUUGGGACUGAGACACGGCCCAGACUCCUACGGGAGGCAGCAGUGGGGGAUAUUGCGCAAUGGGGGCAACCCUGACGCAGCAACGCCGCGUGAAGGAUGAAGGCUUUCGGAUUGUAAACUUCUUUUAUCAGGGACGAAUUUUGACGGUACCUGAUGAAUAAGCUCCGGCUAACUACGUGCCAGCAGCCGCCGUAAAAC